GACGAACCGUGCGAACGUUGUUCGGAAUCACUGGGCUUAAAGGGCGCGUAGGCGGGCUUGCAAGUCAGGGGUGAAAUCCCACGGCUCAACCGUGGAAGUGCCUUUGAUACUGCGGGUCUUGAGGGAGGUAGGGGCGUGCGGAACUUCCGGUGGAGCGGUGAAAUGCGUAGAUAUCGGAAGGAACACCGGUGGCGAAAGCGGCGCGCUGGACCUCUACUGACGCUGAGGCGCGAAAGCCAGGGGAGCAAACGGG
rnacentral:rRNA from 1 species